UUUUCCUUUCAGAUAAAAGGAAUAAAAACUCAUCCUAGGGGAUGCAAAUCAGUCAAACCCAGAGGCAGCUAAGGGGGGCACUGAGCAAGGCUGAGAAGCAGGAGAAGGAGAGAAAAGCCUUUCCUGGGAACCAGGAGAAGGCGAGAUGCACGCACACAUCCACGCCGGGCUGACUCCACAGAAAACCAGCUCCCAUCAACAUGUCAGGACAGUCAGAGUUUUCUGGAAGGUUUUGUUCUGACUGGGGGUUUCUUGACCUGGGGUCCACGGACACAGAAUGCCAUGGUUCGGAGAACACCUGUGGACUUGGAAGGGAAGGAAAACUCCCAAGAAACGAUUCUACAAAGGGGAGUGGGUGUGGAAUAAGGAGGCGCUCUGAAUUUAUCUCGUUUGUCAUCCCCAACCUUCAAGACAAACUCUGCCAACGUCCCCCUCGCGUCCACUGCCACUGCAGGGAGUCAGAGGGUGGGCGUCCCAGGUGUCCUCAAGCGCUGCUGCAUGUCAGAAACACGUGGAGCCUCAGGAAUGCUCACGCCCACGUCCAGCCCAGGUUCAAACUCCCUGCGAGGUUGGCAAGCACAGCCCAAGGGACGUGCAGACUGAGAACCACCGGGCUCGACUCAGGCCUGGUGAAGGCGUGGUGGAGAGCAAGGACCUCCUCACGCCGGCAGAAAGGCGGGAGUGGACUCAGCAAAGGAACCAGGGAUGCGCAUCGCAGGGUCGGAGUCUGAGUAACCGAACCUGCAGCCUCCUGGCCUCCAGAAACGUCACAUUUUAUUCUGAGUAAAGAAAGUAGCAUUUCUUGAGACAGAUGUUCAACAAAUUUCUAUCAGAUGAACGACUGUAUACCACGUGGAUUGGUAUUUAGAAUGGACUGUGCACUUGGGGAAACAAUAUCGUGAAGACGGUUCCACAUCUUCCUGAGUUCUGUGAGCUCGUUUAAGGCAGGUGUUUAAAGUCUUGGUCUGGUAGGUCUGCCAUCCGGCCGUUUUCAGGGACAGCUCUGUUGAGUUAGCUUUUCCUUGCAACAGGCCAUAUUUCCUGUUUCUUUGUGUGCCUUGUGAUUUUUAGUUGAAAUCUGGACCCUUGAAGCUAACGAGGUGGUAACUCUGGAAAUCAGAUCCUCCCCUCCGUGGGGUUUGCUGUCUCGUGUCGUGUUUCUGUGGUUUUGAUUGUCGCAGGCUGUGCUGAGGAUGGGCCCGAGGCGUCAGCUUGUCAGCUUGAGGUUUUCUCAGGUGUUUUCUGAGUCGCUGCCUUUCCCUGGGCACACACAGUCACUUCCUAAUUUCCCUGGUGUGCAACGGUUUGAACGUCCUAGUCUUUAGUGUCUGGCUCCCAAAAUGUAAGACAGAGAAAAAAGGUGGGGAGGAGGGUGCCAACCCUUUAAAUCCCCUGGGAUCACCUCAGCCUGAGUGCCUUGCCACAAUGUGGGGGGGGGGGGGUGCAACAACAAGGGUUGCCCCCUCUGUGACUGCCCCUCUGUGAUCAGAAGCAGCAAUCACAACACAGAUCCCCGUUAUCUGGAGGACAGGGUCCUUUUUGCUGGCUGUGUCCGUGUCUCCCGCACGCCUGUGCGAGCCGCUGCAGGAACACGCACACAGUUGCCUCCACGUGGCCGGGGGUAGGGGCCUGGGUAGCGGCUCCUGUGCUAAGAGCUGGAACUGACUGACAUUAAUCUCAAUUGACCGUCCAAGGCUUCCUCUGGGAGUUGCAAGCCUUCAGCAGACUCCAGGGCUCCCACUUAGUUCCCUCAGACAGAUCCUGCCGGCACAGUUGCUCUCCGUGUGGAUGGGGAGCCAGAUUCCCACCCCACUCCGCCUUCCAACUCCGCCUUCUUCCCAGAAUUCUCUCUGUGACUGUUUCUUGAGGGUGGGGGUGUAGAUGAUUCUCACCUUAUUUUGUUUACUUUGUUUAUUUCUGCUUUGUAUGAAUUUUUAAUAAACACAUUACUUUCAUAAUCAGAAAUAAAGAAUUUAUAUUCUGGAAAAGGAAAAGCACGGCCCUAAUUUACCCCUCCUGCUGAGUCUGCCGGUCAUUCCGCGAGUCUGUUCACCUCCACUCUUGAGGAAUAUGAGCCUGUCUACCGGAAGAAAGAUGACCUUUCCAGGACCCUUUGCAGCUAGCCUGGAAUGCAGCGGCCACCACCUUGAGCCGAGGCUGAGACCCUGCCCUGAGUGAGGCCACGACGUCACCCCUGGGUGCCUGACCCAGCAGAGCAUCACACCCUCCUGAGCCUACACCUGGACUUUCCCACGAGGCAGCCACUCACUUCCCUCUCGUGUAAGCCACCGUCGCUUGCUGUUUUCUAGUCAAUCACAGGCAGACCUUACCUGGAUUAAUCUAUCUCUUG
rnacentral:lncRNA from 1 species